rnacentral:lncRNA from 1 species
AUUGGUGCCGGGCCCGAUCCGGAUGAAAAAAAAAUCCGGAUAAUAAUAGGAAACACAAACACCACCAACCAACACCACAGUAUUCUUAUUAUUUAUACAUCAUGUACAUACCAACUUAAACGGGCUUGAAGUAGGCAGUCAACGGUCUCUGCCUUUUAGAAUCCGAGUGUUUCUUGGAUGCCAAAUCCCGCCAGCGUUGUAAAUAACUGAUGUCGAUUGCCGUUGAUUCCGACUGCUCCGCGAUGUCGUUGAGCGCACCUGUUAGGGACUUGUAUCCUUGGGAGUGUGGAAUGGAAACACAGGCUGGCUGGUUCACUGUCGAUCCGGAUAAUCCAGAGUCCGGAUUUUUCGAAGCCGGAUAAUCCAAAGUCUACUGUACUCGAUACUCGAUUGGUCUCUAUUCGAACGGAUUUGAGGAUACAAAAUAUUCACCCAAGUCUCUCACUAAACGCUUGUAUGAAAGAAUUUACUGCUAGAGCUACUGGUUCAAAUGAAAUCAAGUUAACAAUUUAAACACUUAAAAUUCUGCUAUAAAUGUGUCAAAUUCAUCACAUUCAAAGUAUUGGGAGUGACUUCAUUUGUCCUCGAUGCUCAGUCCUCUAAAUGUAUGUUACUCAUUAGGAUUUCGCUCAUUCAUCUAAUACUUCUUUGCCUGAGAGUCCUGAGAGUGAAUCAUAUGAAGAAAAUCAUAUUGGGGAAUUUCAGGAUUUUGAUUUUCUAUUUGAUAUUUUUCAAUCCUUUUGGUCAAUUAUAGUCAAUACUAUAUCGUGAAGCGCUCCUGUCUCAUGGCCGAGGAGGCGUAGCCAUAUUUCCUUCCAUUAGUUUAGCUUUUACUCUUGGUUUUUGAGUAUUUUUUUACCAUGACGCAUAUUCAUGGUAUCACAAUCUCUUUUGAAAAUGUUUUUCAUCAUUGCCUGUUUUCGUUCUGAUAUUUUUGGUGAAUAUUCUCCGUACCGAUUUAAAUAUUGAUGGCUAAAGUGCGAAAUCUCGUAUCUCUAUUGCGGUGUCUCAAAAUUUCCGCUCCUAGUGAAUUUUUUAAAAGAGAAACAAGUCAAUUUGUAGAUUUCUACUGACGGAAAAAAUCAGGAAGUUUUCGAGAAAUUCCGUUGACUUGCUUUCCGAAUAAAGCAGGGUCUGACAGAAAGUCUGCACCGUUGCGGACGAACAUUCGUGAUUUCGCACUUUGGCCAUAGAUAUGUAAAUUCAAAUUGACAGCAAAGGCGCUCAAUCUUCUCAAUCUCAAACUCAAUCUUCCGUUCGAAGUUUUUAAAGUCGGAUGUUACUUUACAUUUACGUAAGAGCACAAAAACAUAGCUCGAAUAAUGUUGCCCAUUCAAUGUUUUAACCUUGUUACCCAUAUUUUAAUUCCCUCCUGUUCAUUUGAAGUAUUUAUCAUUUAUCAGAAAAUUAGCUCUUUUUGGCUUUGCAACUUUGCGUAAAGAAAUUCAUACAAUCCAUCUAAAAAAUUCUUGAUUAUGAGGUUUUAAAUAAUUAAUUACUUGAUAUUCAGUAUUUGAUUAUUUCAUUUGAUCUCUGAGAUGACCAAAAGUCCAGGAUUUAUUUUUGACUAUAUAUUAGUUAGUGACAUUCUGUAUUAUAGUGAAGGUGAUUAUAGUAAAGAUUAAAUUUGAAAGUGUCUUCUCCUCCCACCUAAAGUGUCGUCUUUGGUUCUAAGAUAAAAUCAACGUGCAGUCGUUUGUAUCUAUCUAUGAUCAGUGUACUAUGUAUAUCCUAUUCACCAAGCCUGCUCUACGUCAUAAAUCGAUUAAAGUGGUUGGUGUGUGUCCAUUUAUUGUCUUAAUUUGUUAACAAUUGAUUCCCAUUUUUCUCGUUUGAUCGCUCAAGAUUCCAAUUCACUCGCUGAGAGCUCAGCUCUGAAUCAAAAAGAACUUACUAAACUAUCGGUCUGUCAAACUGAGGAUUUUUAUGCGUGUGGUGGACUUUAAGGUCAUUUCUGAUGUGAUCCUGUUCAAUGUGAUCUCAAAGACUAAAAUCAAAAAAUAAAUAUAUUAAAUUCACAGUAAAAAGUAGCCUGAAUAAUUAUCCGGAAUUGAAUACUCUCGGCAUGAAAGCAAAAAUCCAAAAAAACAAUAAUGACGCAGCACAGGAUUUGUUCCUCUUUUCGUCUCAUCCCUUUCAUCGAAUUUCGAGACUUAUUUGAUCUAGUACAGUAUGACACUCUUCUC